UACGGAGGGUGCGAGCGUUGCUCGGAAUUAUUGGGCGUAAAGCGUACGCAGGCGGCUCGGCAAGUCGAGUGUGAAAACCCGGGGCUCAACUCCGGGCCUGCAGCCGAUACGGGCAGACUAGAGUUCGGCAGGGGAGACUGGAAUUCCUGGUGUAGCGGUGAAAUGCGCAGAUAUCAGGAGGAACACCGGUGGCGAAGGCGGGUCUCUGGGCCGAUACUGACGCUGAGGAGCGAAAGCGUGGGGAGCGAACAGG
rnacentral:rRNA from 1 species